rnacentral:rRNA from 1 species
UACGUAGGGUGCAAGCGUUAAUCGGAAUUACUGGGCGUAAAGCGUGCGCAGGCGGUUUUUUAAGUCAGAUGUGAAAGCCCCGGGCUCAACCUGGGAAUUGCGUUGGAGACUGCAAGGCUAGAAUCUGGCAGAGGGGGGUAGAAUUCCACGUGUAGCAGUGAAAUGCGUAGAGAUGUGGAGGAACACCGAUGGCGAAGGCAGCCCCCUGGGUCAAGAUUGACGCUCAUGCACGAAAGCGUGGGGAGCAAACAGG